ACCGGGAGAACUGAAACAUCUAAGUACCCCGAGGAAAAGAAAUCAACCGAGAUUUCGUCAGUAGCGGCGAGCGAAAGCGAAAGAGCCAGUAAGUGAUAGCAGUAUAGUGAGGAGAAUGUGUUGGGAAGCACAAUCAAAGAGGGUGAUAAUCCCGUAUCUAAAAACCAUAUUGUGGUACUAAGCUAACGAGAAGUAGGGCGGGACACGUGAUAUCCUGUUUGAAGAAGGGGGGCCCAUCCUCCAAGGCUAAAUACUCCUGAUUGACCGAUAGUGAACCAGUACUGUGAAGGAAAGGCGAAAAGAACCCCGGUGAGGGGAGUGAAAUAGAACCUGAAACCUUGUACGUACAAGCAGUGGGAG
rnacentral:rRNA from 1 species